UAUCUCUCGAUCAAUGCUUGUCGAAUUUUACCAAACCCGAGCGUCUAGACGAGCAUAACAAAUACUACUG
rnacentral:rRNA from 1 species